AAAAAAAAAAACGGAGCGUUUUCCUUGGCUGCCCUAAUGGGACCCAGCGAUGCUUCGCGUGGGCAGCGGUGAGUAAGAGCCUUAUCUUUAUUUACUCGAUGGUUUCGUGCCGGAGCUGUGGAAGACCUCGGAGGAGGAGGAGGGGCAGGUCCACAAGGAGCCUCCGUGAGCAUUUCCAGCCUGGCGCUGGUGAGAGGAGGGCUGAGCGAGUCACUGCUGAUUUAUGAACUCUCCCGUGCAGGGCAGAGGUCCCUUUUUGCCUUGCACAGAGGCGCUGGGUUCGUUGGAGGAGCAGAACCAGCCCCAGCCUCGCUCAGAGAAGCUGCCAGAGAUUUUCUUAUUGCAGAGGAAACUCCCCCGCAUCUCCUCCUCCCGGGUGGCGUGGGUGUCGCCUGGUCCCUUCCUGUUUGUCACCCGGCCAGCAAGAAGGAGGAAUCCAUGCCAGCUGGGACGUCAGUGCCUGCUGAAGAACUGCCUCUCCCUGCAAAGGGCGACGCCGUUUCCACCUCUUUAUUAAGCCAAGCACAAUCCUGUGCGCCAGCAGAGAUGAAGAAAAGCUCCUGAUAAGUGGGACUGGCCAUUCCCUGAGUUUCCGGUCUCCUUGGUUACGGUACG
rnacentral:lncRNA from 12 species